AAGCUUAUUAGUGUGAGAUAUAGUGCAUAAUAGUACAGUGAUGGAAUAACAUACGAAAUUGCAAUCUUAAACAGAUAUGAUUUAUCGUACUUUUUGCAUUACGGGUGUGCGAGUUUAU
rnacentral:rRNA from 1 species